UUUGCAGGCCACUAGCUUGUUCUCGAAGGGGGGGCAUAAAUCACUUUAAGUGCCUCUCCCCCCUCUCCCCUGCCCCUCUUCCUUCCAUCUUCUCUCCUCUCCCCUAAACUCCUUUGUCUUUCCCUUUGAAGAGGCAAGAUCAUGUUAGCUGGUGAUUUGUGGCCUCUUGAAGUGCAACCUCUCCCUGCUUGGGAAGCGAACAGAUACAGCUCGCUGCUGAGCAAUGAUACAUUGGCUUGUUAAUCGUUCAGCAAGCACUCUUGGGCACAAUGCUGGGUAGUACUAAGAUCCGAGCUGUUUAGGGCGGGAAACAGGCCUUCUUUCUUUUUAAUUAUGGAAAAACAUAUUUAAAUAUCCUACCUUCUUUCAGGAAAGCCGGGCUAUUCUGUUCCUUUUUCAGAGAAAGUGAGGCCGUGUGAAUGUGGAAGACUCACUGCUGCUCUUCGAGCACAGGUGCUUGGCAUUUAGAGCGAUAAGUCGGCAGCCUUCGAGGCUCGCUGUGAGAGUAAAGUGGAAGAACACCAAGCUCCUUGGAGGAAGAAGAGGACUGAAACUUAAUAAACAAAAUAAGGUUUGACAUCUCUCUUCCCAAACAACCUUGACAAUGGAGACAUCAGGAUGGGCAUCACUUCGUGAGACGGAAGCCUAAUGACAUUCAGUUAUAGUGAUAUCAUCAGCCUGGACUUCUAGAAAAUGACAAACAAUAAAUUAUCCCAUCCUCUGGUUUUCACAUGGGUGAACCAUUUUCAGGCUUACUCACUCAUUCGUUUUAUGGGUGUGAACAGCCAUGGUGGGUUCCUCUGAGAUGCUGGGAGGUGGGAGAGACUGGAAAGUAGCAAUAUGCAAGACCAGGGUGGUGCUGGGAGGGACAGCAUUUUAGAGAAGAAGCAAACGAAGAAGAAACACAACUGGUUUACACACAUUACUCAUAUAUAUGUUUAUUUAAAAUAUGUUUAUAUCACCUUGCAUACAAAUCCCACAGUGCUUUACAACAGUAAAGCACAACUUAAGAUAAGAAGUAAAACACAAGCAGACUAAUUAUUAUCAGUA